rfam:Oryza sativa Japonica Group DNA, chromosome 5, cultivar: Nipponbare, complete sequence.
AACUACACUAUCAAUGAAUGGACUCACCCGCGGGAUGACGUGGUGUUUUACAUAGGACGAGGUCAUGGCAUCCUAUUACCAGCCAUCGCACGAAAUUAAUAGGAUAUGCCACGUCAUCAUCCUAGAUGGAACAACCACGUCAUCUCACUGGUGAAUCCAUUCAUCGAUAGUGUAAUU